UACUCCUACGGGGGGGGCAGCAGUGGGGAAUAUUGCACAAUGGGCGCAAGCCUGAUGCAGCCAUGCCGCGUGUAUGAAGAAGGCCUUCGGGUUGUAAAGUACUUUCAGCGGGGAGGAAGGUGUUGUGGUUAAUAACCGCAGCAAUUGACGUUACCCGCAGAAGAAGCACCGGCUAACUCCGUGCCAGCAGCCGCGGUAAUACGGAGGGUGCAAGCGUUAAUCGGAAUUACUGGGCGUAAAGCGCACGCAGGCGGUCUGUCAAGUCGGAUGUGAAAUCCCCGGGCUCAACCUGGGAACUGCAUUCGAAACUGGCAGGCUAGAGUCUUGUAGAGGGGGGUAGAAUUCCAGGUGUAGCGGUGAAAUGCGUAGAGAUCUGGAGGAAUACCGGUGGCGAAGGCGGCCCCCUGGACAAAGACUGACGCUCAGC
rnacentral:rRNA from 1 species